UACGUAGGGUGCAAGCGUUGUCCGGAAUUAUUGGGCGUAAAGAGCUUGUAGGCGGUUUGUCGCGUCUGCUGUGAAAUUUCGGGGCUCAACCCCGAACUUGCAGUGGGUACGGGCAGACUAGAGUGUGGUGGGGGAGACUGGAAUUCCUGGUGUAGCGGUGAAAUGCGCAGAUAUCAGGAGGAACACCGAUGGCGAAGGCAGGUCUCUGGGCCAUAACUGACGCUGAGAAGCGAAAAGCAUGGGGAGCGAACAGG
rnacentral:rRNA from 1 species